GUUAUAUUUCACUCUUAUCAAUAAUCUUCAUAUAAAGAUUUAACAAAUUACAUAAGAAGUGAUAUAUCAAAACGAAAGAAGAUAUUCUCUUUGGUGUGAUUGAUUACAAGGAACAUCAUAAUCACAGUUAAGAUAGUUGAAUUACCGGUACUUUUAUUUGACCGGUAUAUUCUCCCUGACCAAUGACAAAAAGUAGAUCGAGCAUAAUCAAGAAAAUGAUCGUUACGAAAAUACGAAGAUUAAAGGAUCUCUCUAAAGGAUCUAAAGGAUUCCAGCAAUUCUCGGACACACCAGGAUGAAAGAAGAAUAAACGAAAUAAAGAAAAAAAGACAAAAAAAAAAAGACAAAAAUUUCUAGGAACAAAGAAUAGACAUGUCAACAAGAUUAAAAGAUAGAGAUAGUCAUUAUGAAGAUACUGUUGUUGAGAAUAGUAACAACGAAGAUAAAGUAUACAACCAAUAACGGGAUUAGACAACGACGAAAUGUUGAGAGACAAAAAAAAUAAUGAUUGGGAUCAAAUGAAAGUGAGAAAACGAUAAAUAAAUAUGACGUUUGUUAUCUUUUUUAUUCGCAGGAAUGUGCGAAUAACGUAGAAACGAAGGAUUAAUAUAUUAAAGGUACCAAUGAAUUAUUACUGACGUUUGAAUCGGAUUUAUUCGGAUCUCGAGGUUGAGAGAUAAAUCGUAGAAAAUUAAAGAAUAAUUUCGAUUAAUCGAAAAAAAUAAAAAAAACAGAUCAGUUAUGACUCUGUAUACGCCACACAGUUAAACGAUUUUGAAUCGUUAGAGAAGAUUUUGAAGCAUUAUUAAUUGGCGAAUUGGAGAGAAGUCUGGCAAAACAAUGAUGUGAUUGCCUGUCUUUCUCCAUGGUAACGAUUAGUUGCACGAGAAUACAAUAGGAAGAUAGGAUAGAAUGCGGCAGAGAGUAUUUACUACGGUAAACUAGCCAAACGCACAAAAGCAACCAUACCGGAUAAGGAAACAGUCGAAUGGAGAUUAGUUUUGGGAAUAAGAAACAUACAAUUCCGCGAUUAUUUGGGACAUCUUUCAAGAUAUGCAAAACCUAUUUCUACCAGUCAACUGCUAGCAGACUUUAAAAAAAAAGUGCUGAUCAUUAACCACACUAACCGACCAUAUCAUGAUAAAUUGAUGAAAAGCAGGACUGUUAACGACAAUUACGUGAUUCAAAUGUAAAUAAGAUAAUAAGUGUACAAAAUUAUAAAGCAAUGUUAAAUUUUUGAAUGCAAUAAAGCAAAUUGUUAUUUAUUAUUUAUUAAGAUUGGAGAAAGAGAACGUCGAAAAUAAUAACUUUGUAGGAAGAACUACAAUAGUAGAGAUAUACAGGCAUAUAGUAGAGAACUACAAUAGUAGAAUAUAGUUCGAACAAGUUGAACUAUAAUCAGAUCAAUUAUGAUCGAUCUAGGAAACUUAUGCGUAAUACUAAAUACAGGAUUAACAACGACGAUGAAAUAGGACUGACGUACAUAUCUAAAGUUUCGUAAAAUUAAUAGAGUAUGGAUAUGGAUAUGUAUUAUAACUGUUGGAACUAUAAUUGGGAGUAAAGGAGAAUUGAAGAUCCAUCCGUAGAUCCAAUGACGUAUCAAGUCAUUCCUUUGAUCCUAUAGGUCAUCACCCCUUACGAGAGGAUGACACACAGGACGAUAUUGUAACCAUGUGUUUAGUAACAAUAGUGGACGACAAGACCAUGUAGAUUGUAGAGACAUGUAUUAAAUAUUACUGGCUCGUAAUGGACAAAGAGAUAGCGCGUCAUUACAUGCGGAAAACCGAUCCAACAAGGAAGACACAAAAUAGAAAUGAACACUGGAUCAUAUUCAUUAUACGCAAAAAUGUUGUACACCGAACUAUUGAAUAAACUGAGAUGGAUAGAAACACCGAUGGGAUUCGACAAUUGUACAUUAUCAACCGUAUUGAUUAUCCAACAUCAUGAACGACGAUAACAGGAAAUAAUGCACAGUAUCUAGAUUAUAGAAGGUAACAUUAUAGAAGGUAACCGAAGCGAAUGAUUUUCUGUUUUCCUGUUGUUCGAUGAUACUACUCUUUUCGACAUAAAAUGACGUGCAAGGUAUGAAUGGGAGAAUGAAGGGGAAUGGGAAUGUAGAUCGUAAAAUAGUUAAAUAAUAACAUUCUAUAUCGAGAGAAUACAGAAUCGAUCGAACAGAUAGAGCAGAUAUAUUAAAUAUUAUAUCAUAUCGAGUCCUAAGUAACCGUUAUAUUAUCAAGUAUUACCGAUAACUGAAGUUUCUAAACUAUAUGAUUGUCGUUUAGCAUAUACGGUCGGAUUUUAUCAGUUCGCUGGGAUACCAUUUCGACUUUCUAAUGCUGCCUGUCGCAUUUCAAUGACUAUGUUUAAUGUAGUUUUAGAUAAUCUGCCGAAGACUAUUGCAAUUGUAUGUAUAUUUGAACGGUAUCAUUGCAACAUCGCAAAAAUAUCGAAGAAGGAAUAGAUAUCCUCUCUUUCUCUCUCUCUAUCUGUCUCAUACCGCGUUCCCUUUGUUAUAUUAUACUACUCUACAUUGAAUUUCUGAUAAGUAAUGUAUAUACCUAUAGUAACCAUCUAAAUUACAACCGAGUUGCCAUUUAUAAUUAGAUUUAUAAAAUAAUGUUUCCUAAUUGUCCAUUUGCAAUUUGGGAUCUUUAUGUGUUCGAUAUGUUAUUUUC